ACAGCUACUGUUGGUGCACCCUCCCUCUCCCAUCUUCCCUGAGCCACUUCUGGCUGCAGAGUGGGGCAGUGGACGUUUUCCCACUGGAGAGUCACAGAGGUUUAGAACAGCAGCUUCCAGAACGAAAUCCACUAAAUGACAGGCAAGACAACCAUAGUCUUCCUUCCACAAAACCUCUGUAAUAAAUGGCAUUUUGAAUCAUAGGCUUUAGCGUCAAGAUGCUUAACCGUCGUUAAAUUUUGCAGUUGCUAUUAAAAAGCAGUCAAAGUUUUCACGUGUACGUAGCCUCAGAAGUUGGGUUUCCCAGGGCAGCUCUUAAAAUUCCCCAGCCUGCCAUGCACGGAAGGUACCAUUCCGUGGCAGAAGCAGUAAAUGUAAUUUGUUAAACAACUACUACAUCAUGUGGAAUUGAAGUUUCUCUUUUCAGUCGGGACCGUGCAUCACUCUCAUGACUUUCUUCUUUAAAAGGAAAACCACACAGACAUCUUGUUCUUGCUCACGGGGCCUUUAUUAGAGGUUUCCAGACUCAGCUCGAAUUCCAGAGGAAAGAAUUACUGAGCUUAGGAGAGCUGUAGUCACGGAGCAGUGGGAAGGCCCCUCCCAGCUAAACAGGUAGUUGCCAGCAACCCUGGCAACCAAACAGAAAGCAGGAGGAAAACGGCCUUUCGCAGGGACCAGCGUGCCAGCUGGGACCUCAGAGAAGGCCUGGCUCCCAGGAAGAAGGCUGCUGACCCGUCCUCCUUGGCACGCAGUUCAGCUCCGAGUUUGCUGCAGGUCAUAAAAAUGUAGAGGAACCUCCAAGGGAGAGAAGAGCCGAGUGGGCUUUGGCCAAGCCUCGAGUGUCAGCAACACCCCGAUGUCACCUCCUAUACCAUUUUGUUGGAUUUUCUACGUCACUCCCGAAAAGAUCAUGGUGGCAGCUUUAGACUGUUUGACCUACUUGGCUUGUGUACAUCAAGAAAACUCAGAGAUAAUUUCCCAGUGAAGGUCUGGCCAGGGCUGAAUAUGAAAACUUUAUAACCACUACACCUGGAGGCGGCGGGGGCCCAAAGCGCACGAGUAGUUUUGAGGAUUGGUGCCCAGCCUGCAGGCAAGGCACCUGUGCAGCGGGCGUGGCCUGUCCCCAGAGGCGACUGCGUCCCCAGCUCACCUGGCACGAUGACUCCUGUCUGCACAGCAGCUCUGGCCGGUGGGUUUAACUCAUGACCAACUCUAGACUAUCAGCAACGUCACUUCAAAUGACACUGUUUUUUUUUAAAUGUUUUAUUACAAAGCUUCUUUUAAAAAAUGCUCAGCACGUUAACUCAAACUGGAAUGACAAACGUUAGAUGACAGUUUUGGGCAAAGGCUGUGCCUUGCUAUUUAAAAAAAAAAAAAAAUGGGUACAUCAAUGCUCAUUUUUAACAACUGGCAUAAAAUCCCACUAAUUGGCUAAUAAAAACAGAUACAAAUACAGAACAUUGAAAGGAAUAACAAUUCAAGUGCUGGGCUUUUUACAACAAGGGGGGGGUGAGAAGGAAAGAAAUGAAAAUUCACUGCAAACUGGUCGGCUGAAUGCAUCUGUUAAGGUUUACUGUUU